GUGCUUAAUGCCUGACCCGUAGCAUGUACUAUAUGAAUAUUAGUUAUUAUAACUUUUAUUAUCCCUAAGCAAAGGGCUUGUGCAGACUGGAGCCACCGAUUUCACUGUGUCUGGCCCCAGCUGAUGCCUCUGCUUCUCCCCUCCCCUUAGAGCUUGGGAAAGUCGAGGUGACGGUGUUUGACCCUGACUCCCUGGACCCUGAUCGCUGUGAGAGCUGCUAUGGUGCUGAGGCAGAAGAUAUCAAGUGCUGUAACACCUGUGAAGAUGUGCGGGAGGCAUAUCGCCGUAGAGGCUGGGCCUUCAAGAACCCAGAUACUAUUGAGCAGUGCCGGCGAGAGGGCUUCAGCCAGAAGAUGCAGGAGCAGAAGAAUGAAGGCUGCCAGGUGUAUGGCUUCUUGGAAGUCAAUAAGGUGGCCGGAAACUUCCACUUUGCCCCUGGGAAGAGCUUCCAGCAGUCCCAUGUGCACGGUGAGUGAUCUGCACUAGCUGGGGAGAUUUAGAUGCUGGCCACCUUCUUGGUGAGCUUGAGUGGUCCUCUUCUGCCUGCUGCUCAUUUGUCUUGGGCAACCAUUUGGCCAGAGC
rnacentral:lncRNA from 10 species